rnacentral:rRNA from 1 species
GACGAACGCUGGCGGCGUGCUUAACACAUGCAAGUCGAACGGACAGGCCAUGCUCUUGUGGGGUGCUCGAGUGGCGAACGGGUGAGUAACACGUGUGUAACAUGCCCUUGUCUUUGGGAUAACUUCAGGAAACUGGGGCUAAUACCGGAUAGGAGCUACUGCUGCAUGGUGGGGGAUGGAAAGUUUCGGCGGUUGGGGAUGGUCUCGCGGGUUCCGGGCUUGUUGGUGGGGUAGUUGAUUACCAAGGCUUUGAAGGGUAGGCGGCCUGGGAGGGUUGCCGGCCACAAUGGGACUGAGGUACGGCGCAGACGGCUAUGGGAGGCAGCAGUGGGGAAUAUUGCAGAAUGGGCGGAAGUCUGAUGCAGAAACGCCGCGUGCGGGAUGACGGCCUUCUGGUUGUAAACCGCUGUCGCCUGUGACGAAGCGGGAGUGACGGUAAUGGGUAAAGAAGCACCGGCUAACUACGUG